AUUGAACGCUGGCGGCAGGCCUAACACAUGCAAGUCGAACGAGUGGCGGACGGGUGAGUAAUGUCUGGGAAACUGCCCGAUGGAGGGGGAUAACUACUGGAAACGGUAGCUAAUACCGCAUACCAUCGGAUGUGCCCAGAUGGGAUUAGCUAGUAGGGGGGGUAACGGCUCACCUAGGCGACGCUCCCUAGCUGGUCUGAGAGGAUGACCAGCAAAACUGGACCUGAGACAGGGUCCAGACUCCUACGGUGGGAAGCAGUGGGGAAUAUUGCACAAUGGGCGCAAGCCUGAUGCAGCAAGGCCGCGUGUAGGAAGAAGGCCUUCGGGUUUUAAAGUACUUUAAGCGAGGAGGCGUUACUCGCAGAAGAAGCCCCGGCUAACUCCGUGCCAGCAGCCGCGGUAAUUC
rnacentral:rRNA from 1 species